rnacentral:rRNA from 1 species
CCUACGGGGGGCUGCAGUGGGGAAUAUUGGACAAUGGGGGGAACCCUGAUCCAGCCAUGCCGCGUGUGUGAAGAAGGCCCUCGGGUUGUAAAGCACUUUCAGUGAGGAAGAACGCCUGGUGGUUAAUACCCAUCAGGAAAGACAUCACUCACAGAAGAAGCACCGGCUAACUCCGUGCCAGCAGCCGCGGUAAUACGGAGGGUGCGAGCGUUAAUCGGAAUUACUGGGCGUAAAGCGCGCGUAGGUGGCUUGAUAAGCCGGUUGUGAAAGCCCCGGGCUCAACCUGGGAACGGCAUCCGGAACUGUCAAGCUAGAGUGAAGGAGAGGAAGGUAGAAUUCCCGGUGUAGCGGUGAAAUGCGUAGAGAUCGGGAGGAAUACCAGUGGCGAAGGCGGCCUUCUGGACUGACACUGACACUGAGGUGCGAAAGCGUGGGUAGCAAACAGGAUUAGAUACCCCUGUAGUC